rnacentral:rRNA from 1 species
GAUGAACGCUGGCGGCGUGCCUAAUACAUGCAAGUCGAGCGAACGGACGAGAAGCUUGCUUCUCUGAUGUUAGCAGCGGACGGGUGAGUAACACGUGGAUAACCUACCUAUAAGACUGGGAUAACUUCGGGAAACCGGAGCUAAUACCGGAUAAUAUUUUGAACCGCAUGGUUCAAGAGUGAAAGACGGUCUUGCUGUCACUUAUAGAUGGAUCCGCGCUGCAUUAGCUAGUUGGUAAGGUAACGGCUUACCAAGGCAACGAUGCAUAGCCGACCUGAGAGGGUGAUCGGCCACACUGGAACUGAGACACGGUCCAGACUCCUACGGGAGGCAGCAGUAGGGAAUCUUCCGCAAUGGGCGAAAGCCUGACGGAGCAACGCCGCGUGAGUGAUGAAGGUCUUCGGAUCGUAAAACUCUGUUAUUAGGGAAGAACAUAUGUGUAAGUAACUGUGCACAUCUUGACGGUACCUAAUCAGAAAGCCACGGCUAACUACGUG